CGGAAGGGUAUGGUGUGUGCCUCGCGCCUAAACGCGGCAGCCGCCCCUCCCGGUUCUUGCAGUUUCGCCUAUCGAAGUGGGAAGUGUGGGGACUUGGGGCGUUGCCUAGUGUUGGUUGGGGAUACAGUGCAAGCCUUGGAUCCCAAAGCUGCUUGGAUGGAUUUUACCAAACUGUAGCAUACUCAGUGCUUAGGACUGCGUUUACUGCUCUGCUCCCAGACCCUGCAAAAUUCUCCAUUAACGUCCUUCCGUUGCAUCCUCUACCCUCCCCAGCCAUCCGACCUUGGGACUAGGGAAACGUGGACUUGGUGGGCUAUUCUGCGCUGAAGAGGCAGCAACGAGGGCUCGGUGGUAUUGGUGUUGGUCCUAGUGGAAUUGUCAAGAGGAUGCUUUUGGAGACCUGAUGCCUGGAGGUACAGCAGCCAUCUUGUGACCAUAAGGAGGAAAUCAACGCAUUAAGAAGGGAAAAGCUAAGAAC
rnacentral:lncRNA from 1 species